CGGCGUGCCUAAUACAUGCAAGUCGAGCGAACGGACGAGAAGCUUGCUUCUCUGAUGUUAGCGGCGGACGGGUGAGUAACACGUGGAUAACCUACCUAUAAGACUGGGAUAACUUCGGGAAACCGGAGCUAAUACCGGAUAAUAUUUUGAACCGCAUGGUUCAAAAGUGAAAGACGGUCUUGCUGUCACUUAUAGAUGGAUCCGCGCUGCAUUAGCUAGUUGGUAAGGUAACGGCUUACCAAGGCAACGAUGCAUAGCCGACCUGAGAGGGUGAUCGGCCACACUGGAACUGAGACACGGUCCAGACUCCUACGGGAGGCAGCAGUAGGGAAUCUUCCGCAAUGGGCGAAAGCCUGACGGAGCAACGCCGCGUGAGUGAUGAAGGUCUUCGGAUCGUAAAACUCUGUUAUUAGGGAAGAACAUAUGUGUAAGUAACUGUGCACAUCUUGACGGUACCUAAUCAGAAAGCCACGGCUAACUACGUGCCAGCAGCCGCGGUAAUACGUAGGUGGCAAGCGUUAUCCGGAAUUAUUGGGCGUAAAGCGCGCGUAGGCGGUUUUUUAAGUCUGAUGUGAAAGCCCACGGCUCAACCGUGGAGGGUCAUUGGAAACUGGAAAACUUGAGUGCAGAAGAGGAAAGUGGAAUUCCAUGUGUAGCGGUGAAAUGCGCAGAGAUAUGGAGGAACACCAGUGGCGAAGGCGACUUCCUGGUCUGUAACUGACGCUGAUGUGCGAA
rnacentral:rRNA from 1 species